GCCUCCGCUCGCUUCUCUGUAAGUUGUGCUAACUUUACCAGCGCUUAAUUGCCGCAUUCGUCAUGAAAAAAGAAGCACAAACAACUUUCUGUCGCUGCAAAAUGAAACGUUUCAUAGAAGAAAAGCUUCGGCUUAUAGAACUCGGACCCGAGCAGCCGAACGUCGCCGUAAAACAGCAAAAAAAGGACAGGAGCUGCUAUGAGAAGAAGGACAUGCCCUCAGACCGGCGCCAUGUUCUGUUUUCCACCGAACAAGCCUGGAUUCACACAGAAACAGCAGCAGAUGAUGAUGAUGACGAUGAUGAUAGUGACACAGAAUCAGAGCUGACUGUGCUGUGAGCAUCACAUGAUCACGUAUCUGUCUCCCUGUUCCACAGACUCAGGCCGUUUCUCAAUACUCAAGUAAGCAAGUAUGUACUUGCUUACUUGGGAAGUAUAUACUUGAGAAGUACGCUGGAAGUAUAUACUUCCCAAGUACGGGAGUACACAAGUAUGUGGUUGUUUCUCAAUACUCAAGUAUGCAAGUAUGUAUGUAUUGUUCUGCUGUUUGAAUGGUGGCUGGUGCCAAGUGCUGCAGCCUCAUUACCGCCACCUACAGUGUUGAUAAAUGAACAUAUGAAAUACUUUUAAUAAAUGCAUAUAUAUGUUGUUA